rnacentral:rRNA from 1 species
UACAGAGGGGGCAAGCGUUGUUCGGAAUUACUGGGCGUAAAGAGCUCGUAGGCGGUCUGUCGCGUCUGCUGUGAAAACCCGAGGCUCAACCUCGGGCUUGCAGUGGGUACGGGCAGACUAGAGUGCGGUAGGGGAGAACGGAAUUCCUGGUGUAGCGGUGGAAUGCGCAGAUAUCAGGAGGAACACCGAUGGCGAAGGCAGUUCUCUGGGCCGUAACUGACGCUGAGGAGCGAAAGCGUGGGGAGCAAACAGG